CGUAAUCCGGGUUGCGGACAGUGUCUGGUGGGUAGUUUGACUGGGGCGGUCUCCUCCUAAAGAGUAACGGAGGAGCACGAAGGUCAGCUAAUCCUGGUCGGACAUCAGGAGGUUAGUGCAAUGGCAUAAGCUGGCUUGACUGCGAGCGUGACGGCGCGAGCAGGUGCGAAAGCAGGUCAUAGUGAUCCGGUGGUUCUGAAUGGAAGGGCCAUCGCUCAACGGAUAAAAGGUACUCCGGGGAUAACAGGCUGAUACCGCCCAAGAGUUCAUAUCGACGGCGGUGUUUGGCACCUCGAUGUCGGCUCAUCACAUCCUGGGGCUGAAGUAGGUCCCAAGGGUAUGGCUGUUCGCCAUUUAAAGUGGUACGCGAGCUGGGUUUAGAACGUCGUGAGACAGUUCGGUCCCUAUCUGCCGUGGGCGCUGGAGAAUUGAGGGGGGCUGCUCCUAGUACGAGAGGACCGGAGUGGACGCAUCACUGGUGUUCGGGUUGUCAUGCCAAUGGCAUUGCCCGGUAGCUAAAUGCGGAAGAGAUAAGUGCUGAAAGCAUCUAAGCACGAAACUUGCCCCG
rnacentral:rRNA from 1 species